GCUGUCCGAAAAUGCUGCCUCUACGUGGCGGACGGCAGGCAACGGAGCGUGUCUCCGGCUAAAGCAUGA
rnacentral:ribozyme from 24 species